UCCCUCUCUCUCCCUCCAUGUUUCUUUCUCUCUCUCCCCUCCCCUCUUCCAUCUCUGUAGCUGAAUGUACCACGGCUAAAAAUGAACUCAGAUCAGCAGGAAAAGACCAGAAUGUAGGACACCAGUUAGUUACAGUGGGGCAAAAAAGUAUUUAGUCAGCCACCAAUUGUGCAAGUUCUCCCACUUAAAAUGAUGAGAGAGGCCUGUAAUUUUCAUCAUAGGUACACUUCAACUAUGACAGACAAAAUGAGAAGAAAAAAAUCCAGAAAAUCACAUUCUAGGAUUUUUAAUGAAUUUAUUUGCAAAUUAUGGUGGAAAAUAAGUAUUUGGUCACCUACAAACAAGCAAGAUUUCUGGCUCUCACAGAACUGUAAAAGGUUUGGACUAGACAGGCCUCCGUAGACUGAUCCAAGGUCAGUUAGCUAGUGUCUCUGCUGAGGUCGAUGCUGGGGUCAGUUAGUUAGGUUUGGACUAGACAUAGACUGAUCCAAGGUCAGUUAGUUACACGGAACCCAAACCGGCCGCGCACCAUCGUGCAUACAUGUAUUUUACCCAAACGCGAUCACGACACGCAGGUUAAAACAUUAAAACAAACUCUGAACCAAUUACAUUCAUUUGGGGACAGGUCGAAAAGCAAUUAACAUUUUGGCAAUUUAGCUAGUUAGUUAGCACUUGCUAGCUAACAUGUACUAUUAAGCUAGCUUGCUGUUGCUAGCUAAUUUGUCCUGGGAUAUAAACAUUGAGUUGUUAUUUUACCUGAAAUGCACAAGAUCCUUUACUCCACCAAAUUAAUCCACACGUAAAAUGGUCAACCAAAUCGUUUCUAUUCAUCUCUCCUCCUUCCAAGCUGUAUUCUCCUCUGGACUUUAGAUUGCAAUUGGCAAUUUUCAUAAAUUAGCUAGUGUCUCCGUUGAUCUUUCAGUCACCUACGUGGGUAUAACCAAUGAGGAGAUGGCAUCUGGGUACCUGCUUCUAUAAACCAAUGAGGAGAUGGGAGAGGCAGGACUUGCAGCGUAAUCUGCGUCACAAAUAGAAGUGACUUCUAUUUUAGCCCUUGGCAACGCAGACACUCGUUGGCGCACGCCAGCAGUGUGGCUGCAAUAAUUGAAUAAUAUAGAUUUCUAAAUGUAUUUUACAACGCCAGCAGUGUAAUCAGCCUGUCAGGUUUGGAAUAAACAGGCCUCCAUAGACUGAUCCAAGGUCAGUUAGCUAGUGUCUCUGCUAAGGUCGAUGCUGAGGUCAGCCUGUCAGGUUUGGAAUAAACAGGCCUCCAUAGACUGAUCCAAGGUCAGUUAGUUCCUCCCCAAUUUAGUGAUAUCCAAUAUUAGUUACUGUCUUGUCCCAUCGCUGGCAACUCCCAUACGGACUCGGGAGAGGCGAAGGCCGAGAGCCGAAACAUGACCCGGCCAAGCCGCACUGCUUCUUGACACAGUGCUCGCUUAACUCGGAAGACAGCCGCACCAAUGUGUUGGAGGGAAAACACCGUCCAACUGAUGACCGAAGUCAGCGUGCAUCCGCCCGGCAAGGAAUCGCUAGAUCGCAAUGUGACAAGGACAAACCCGGCCGGCCAAACCCUUCCCGAAACAGGACGACGCUGGGCCAAAUGUGCACCACCUCAUGGCUCUCCCGGUCGGCUACGACACAUCCCGGGAUCGAAACCAGGUCUGGGGUGACGCCUUUAGCACUGCGAUGCAGUGCCUUAGACCUCUGCCCCACUCGGGAGGCCCCUUCUUGUGUAUUUUACCAAUGAAGAAAAUAUCCAAACCUCUGUGACUCACUGAAAGCUGUAGCAUUUGACCGUGUUUGAAACACACACACACACACACACACACACUAACCCAGUACAAACACACAAUAAGUGUCACGUUCUGACCUUUAUUUCCUUUGUUUUGUCAUUAUUUAGUAUGGUCAGGGCGUGAGUUGGGGUGGGCAGUCUAUGUUUUUUUUUUAAUGAUUUGGGUAUUUCUAUGUUUCGGCCUAGUAUGGUUCUCAAUCAGAGGCAGGUGUCAUUAGUUGUCUCUGAUUGAGAAUCAUACUUAGGUAGCCUGGGUUUCACUGUGUGUUUGUGGGUGAUUGUUCCUGUCUCUGUGUUUGCACCAGAUAGGACUGUUUGUGGGUGAUUGUUCCUGUCUGUGGGUGAUUGUUCCUGUCUGUGGGUGAUUGUUCCUGUCUGUGGGUGAUUGUUCCUGUGUUUG
ensembl:lncRNA